AUUGAACGCUGGCGGCAUGCCUUACACAUGCAAGUCGAACGGCAGCGCGGACUUCGGUCUGGCGGCGAGUGGCGAACGGGUGAGUAAUACAUCGGAACGUACCCUGUCGUGGGGGAUAACUAGUCGAAAGAUUAGCUAAUACCGCAUACGACCUGAGGGUGAAAGUGGGGGACCGCAAGGCCUCACGCAGCAGGAGCGGCCGAUGUCUGAUUAGCCAGUUGGUGGGGUAAAGGCCCACCAAGGCGACGAUCAGUAGCUGGUCUGAGAGGACGAUCAGCCACACUGGGACUGAGACACGGCCCAGACUCCUACGGGAGGCAGCAGUGGGGAAUUUUGGACAAUGGGGGCAACCCUGAUCCAGCAAUGCCGCGUGUGUGAAGAAGGCCUUCGGGUCGUAAAGCACUUUUGUCCGGAAAGAAAUCGCGCUGGUUAAUACCUGGCGUGGAUGACGGUACCGGAAGAAUAAGCACCGGCUAACUACGUGCCAGCCGCCGCAGUAAGAC
rnacentral:rRNA from 1 species